rnacentral:rRNA from 1 species
AUUGAACGCUGGCGGAAUGCUUUACACAUGCAAGUCGAACGGUAGAGGGGGCAACCCCUCGAGAGUGACGAACGGGUGAGUAAUAUAUCGGAACGUGCCCAGUCGUGGGGGACAACGUAGCGAAAGUUACGCUAAUACCGCAUACGAUCUAAGGAUGAAAGCGGGGGAUCGCAAGACCUCGCGCGAUUGGAGCGGCAGAUAUCAGGUUAGGUAGUUGGUGGGGUAAAGGCUAACCAAGCCAACGAUCUGUAUCUGGUCGGAGAGGACGACCAGCCACACUGGAACUGAGACACGGUCCAGACUCCUACGGGAGGCAGCAGUGGGGAAUUUUGGACAAUGGACGCAAGUCUGAUCCAGCCAUUCCGCGUGCAGGAUGAAGGCCCUCGGGUUGUAAACUGCUUUUGUACGGAACGAAAAGGUCUCUCUUAAUACGGGGGGCUCAUGACGGUACCGUAAGAAUAAGCACCGGCUAACUACGUGCCAGCCGCCGCAGUAA